UUAGCUCAUAUUUGUAUGGAAUGGGACGUUUGCCUACGUUUGCUGCUAGGGGCGCUGUUCCAACUGCAUACAAAAUUGGGCUA
rnacentral:pre_miRNA from 1 species